rnacentral:misc_RNA from 1 species
UCCGGUUUGUCACCGGCAGUCUCCUUAGAGUGCUCUUGCGUAGCAACUAAGGACAAGGGUUGCGCUCGUUGCGGGACUUAACCCAACAUCUCACGACACGAGCUGACGACAGCCAUGCAGCACCUGUGUGUCGGUUCUCUUUCGAGCACCCCCAGCUCUCACCAGGGUUCCGACCAUGUCAAGGGUAGGUAAGGUUUUUCGCGUUGCAUCGAAUUAAUCCACAUCAUCCACCGCUUGUGCGGGUCCCCGUCAAUUCCUUUGAGUUUUAAUCUUGCGACCGUACUCCCCAGGCGGUCAACUUCACGCGUUAGCUACGUUACUAAGGAAAUGAAUCCCCAACAACUAGUUGACAUCGUUUAGGGCGUGGACUAC